GGAGAGGAACAAAUCAGUUCAGUACCGCUCAUGAGCUUUAUGGACCCUUGACUAUGGGGAACAGAAACUGAUUUAUUAUGCUUACCCCAUUGCCUAAACAUAUUCCUGUUUGUUCUCCAUGUGUUUGGUGUUGAUACAGAAGAAGUGAAGACAAUAUCAGUGAUGAAGGGAGAUUCGGUCACUCUACACACUGAUGUUACUGAAGUACAGAAAUAUUUGUUCAUACAGUGGAUGUUUGGAAACACUCGAAUAGCUGAAGUCACACAAACCAGCUCAACAUAUGAUGGUCCUGAUGGGAAAUUCAGAGGCAGACAGCUGGAUCAGACUGGAUCUCUGAACAUCACAAACCCCAGAACCACAGACUCUGGACUUUAUUAACUAAACAUUUUGAGCCAAGAGACCAGCUAGCUACACGAGUUUCAAUCUUACAGUCUAUGAUGUGGCACAUGAAAUGAAGUCAGUGUCAGUGAUGAAGGGAGAUUCUGUCACUCUACACACUGAUGUUACUGAAACAGAAAUAUUUGUUGGUACGGUGGAUGUUUGAAAGCACUCGAAUAGCUGAAGUCAACAGACUCAUGCAGACUAGCUCUAAAUAUGAUGGGAGAUUCAAAGACAGACUGCAGCUGGAUCAAACCGGAUCUCUAAUCAUCACAAGCACCAGAACCACAGACUCUGGACUUUAUCAACUAACAAUUGUCAGCAGAGAGACCAGCUACAUGAAUUAUAAUGUUACUGUCUAUGAUCGUCAAGCUCAAAUUGUGUGUCGUCCAGCUGUGCAGCUGUGCAGUGAGCCGUUCAGACUGAAGAUACCAGCAUUGCUGAACUCUAUCAGCCGAGUUUAGGUACGUCACGCCAUCAUAUAAGUGUUUGUCUACAGAACAUAACGCUCUUGUAUGUGUUCAGGCAUGUCAGUAUGAUACUAGCUUUUGUGAAAGCACAGAAGCUAAAACCCACUGUUAAGGCCUGUUCACACCUAGAUCGAUAGAAUUGUUCUGAAUUUAAGUGAACAGCAGAGUCCACACCACAACUAUGACCAUAAUGGCAUCAAGAAACAAUAUCACUGGAAUCACUUUCAGAACCUUUUUUUUUUCCAGCUGAUGAAUGAUUAAAAACACUGACAGCCAAUCACAAUCCAUCCACCCGUAAAGAGCUCAAGCAUUAAAAGUGACAGAAUAAAUAACCAUAAUGGCAUCGAGAAACA
ensembl:lncRNA